UUCUUGUUUAAACUAUGUGAACUUCAGAUGCUGUUGCUGAGCUUGCAAAGGAGUACAGGGAAAGUGGGGAGCCAAUCACAGAUGACAGUACCAACCUGCACAAGUUAUCCUACAAACUAGAAUACUUACUACAGUUUGACCAGAAGGAGAAGACCACAUUUCUUGGUACAAAGAAGGAUUAUUGGGAGUACUUCACUGACUGCCUGGCUAAAAUCAAAGGAGCCAAUGAUGGGAUCCGCUUUGUCAAAUCCAUCCCUGAGCUGAAGACAUCUCUGGGGAAAGGACGGGCGUUUAUCCGUUACUCCCUCGUACAUCAGCGCCUGGCCGACACUCUGCAGCAGUGCCUGAUGAACCAGAGAAUCACCAGUGACUGGUAUUAUGCACGGAGCCCCUUCUUGAAGCCCCAUCUGAGUGUUGACAUAAUCAAUCACCUGUACGAGCUCAAUGAGGUCCAGUUUGAUGUGGCUUCCAGAGGUCACGAUCUUGAUGCCUCCUGGCCAACCUUUGCAAGGAGGACACUGGGAAACUCGCCUGGCCACACGUGGAAACCACCCAGUCGCAGUUCCAGUAUGAACAGUCUGGCCAGCACCUACUCCCAGG